rnacentral:lncRNA from 1 species
GGUCUCCAAGAAGGAAAGAGUUUCUAACCUCUGAAGUGUGGAGUCCCUCUCUCUUUUCACUCUUCUUACCCUUCCUUGACACUUCCCACUUCCUCUCAUUGUACUGCUUUUUAAUGGUCAGCUUGGACACUGAGCCUUCUUGCCUUUAGCUUAUGUUAACUGUUGGAAAUUGGCCCCAGAGCCUCACCCAUGCUAUGAAAGCACUGGGUCAUUGAGACAUGUUUCCAGUCCAUCUUCUCAACUUUAACUUGUAAGAAAAAAUAUCUUUGUGUCUUAUCCGAAAUCUCCCAGGUUUCUCAAGACACUAGGUGAGAAUGUUUCUAUGAGUGGAAGACCAGAAAAGAACUGUGGUGGAGUGAGGAGAAAUAGAUGAAAUGUGAAUGACUGAACCAGAAGCAUGAAGUGG